rnacentral:piRNA from 1 species
UCUGGAACAGCCUUCUGAUUUCAUAUCCAAA